UACGUAGGGGGCUAGCGUUGUCCGGAUUUAUUGGGCGUAAAGGGCUCGUAGGUGGCCAACUAAGUCAGACGUGAAAUCCCUCAGCUUAACUGGGGAACUGCGUCUGAUACUGGAUGGCUUGAGUUUGGGAGAGGGAUGCGGAAUUCCAGGUGUAGCGGUGAAAUGCGUAGAUAUCUGGAGGAACACCGGUGGCGAAGGCGGCAUCCUGGACCAACACUGACACUGAUGAGCGAAAGCCAGGGGAGCAAACGGG
rnacentral:rRNA from 1 species